GAUUCCCUGGCAGCAGGAAUCAGGCAAAUUCCGGAAAAAGACACCAAUCUUAUUUAUCUACAAUACCCAAAACUAGUAAAUUGUAAUAAACAAAUGAAUUAGUACAUAAAAUAUUUCCCACGAGAAUCAUUUCCUCCUGCUUAAAGCCACAAAAUUUUUUGUUGGGAUUAAAAAAAUAUGAACCUCAAAAAUAUCAUAACAAAACAAUCAAACAAUUUAACCUGCCAAAGCAUG
rnacentral:lncRNA from 1 species